rnacentral:rRNA from 1 species
GAUGAACGCUAGCGCCAGGCCUAACACAUGCAAGUCGAGGGGCAGCACAUGCGUAGCAAUACAAUGGUGGCGACCGGCGCACGGGUGAGUAACACGUAUGCAACCUACCUGUACGAGGGGAAUAACCCGGAGAAAUUCGGACUAACACCGCAUAAUACCGAUUAACUGCAUGGUUGAUCGGUUAAAUAUUUAUAGCUUACAGAUGGGCAGGCGUAACAUUAGAUAGUCGGUGAGGUAACGGCCCACCAAGUAAACGAUGUUUAGGGGUUCUGAGAGGAAGGUCCCCCACACUGGUACUGAGACACGGACCAGACUCCUACGGGAGGCAGCAGGGAGGAAUAUUGGUCAAUGGGCGAGAGCCUGAACCAGCCAAGUCGCGUGAAGGAAGAAGGUUCUAUGGAUUGUAAACUUCUUUUGUAAGGGAAUAAAAAAGCUUACGUGUAGGCUAUUGUAUGUACUUUACGAAUAAGGAUCGGCUAACUCCGUGCCAGCCGCCGCGGUAA